rnacentral:rRNA from 1 species
UAGGGAAUCUUCGGCAAUGGACGAAAGUCUGACCGAGCAACGCCGCGAGAGUGAAGAAGGUUUUCGGAUCGUAAAACUCUGUUGUUAGAGAAGAACAAGGACGUUAGUAACUGAACGUCCCCUGACGGUAUCUAACCAGAAAGCCACGGCUAACUACGUGCCAGCAGCCGCGGUAAUACGUAGGUGGCAAGCGUUGUCCGGAUUUAUUGGGCGUAAAGCGAGCGCAGGCGGUUUCUUAAGUCUGAUGUGAAAGCCCCCGGCUCAACCGGGGAGGGUCAUUGGAAACUGGGAGACUUGAGUGCAGAAGAGGAGAGUGGAAUUCCAUGUGUAGCGGUGAAAUGCGUAGAUAUAUGGAGGAACACCAGGGGCGAAGGCGGCUCUCUGGUCUGUAACUGACGCUGAGGCUCGAAAGCGUGGGGAGCAAACAGG